rnacentral:rRNA from 1 species
GGCGUUAAGUUGCAGGGUAUAGACCCGAAACCCGGUGAUCUAGCCAUGGGCAGGUUGAAGGUUGGGUAACACUAACUGGAGGACCGAACCGACUAAUGUUGAAAAAUUAGCGGAUGACCUGUGGCUGGGGGUGAAAGGCCAAUCAAACCGGGAGAUAGCUGGUUCUCCCCGAAAGCUAUUUAGGUAGCGCCUCGUGAAUUCAUCUCCGGGGGUAGAGCACUGUUUCGGCUAGGGGGCCAUCCCGGCUUACCAACCCGAUGCAAACUGCGAAUACCGGAGAAUGUUAUCACGGGAGACACACGGCGGGUGCUAACGUCCGUCGUGAAGAGGGAAACAACCCAGACCGCCAGCUAAGGUCCCAAAGUCAUGGUUAAGUGGGAAACGAUGUGGGAAGGCCCAGACAGCCAGGAUGUUGGCUUAGAAGCAGCCAUCAUUUAAAGAAAGCGUAAUAGCUCACUGGUCGAGUCGGCCUGCGCGGAAGAUGUAACGGGGCUAAACCAUGCACCGAAGCUGCGGCAGCGAACGUAUCACCCAAGACAACUUUACGGAGUUGACGAUUGACGGAGCGAAGCGACGUCAAAGCGUUCAUUAAAGUCGAGUUGGCUUAGGGAUACGUUCGUUGGGUAGGGGAGCGUUCUGUAAGCCUGUGAAGGUGUGUCGUGAGGCAUGCUGG